rnacentral:rRNA from 1 species
CCUACGGGAGGCAGCAGUGGGGAAUUUUGGACAAUGGGCGAAAGCCUGAUCCAGCAAUGCCGCGUGAGUGAAGAAGGCCUUCGGGUUGUAAAGCUCUUUUGUCAGGGAAGAAACGGUGCGGGCUAAUAUCCUGCACUAAUGACGGUACCUGAAGAAUAAGCACCGGCUAACUACGUGCCAGCAGCCGCGGUAAUACGUAGGGUGCAAGCGUUAAUCGGAAUUACUGGGCGUAAGGCGUGCGCAGGCGGUUUUGUAAGUCUGUCGUGAAAUCCCCGGGCUCAACCUGGGAAUUGCGAUGGAGACUGCAAGGCUAGAAUCUGGCAGAGGGGGGUAGAAUUCCACGUGUAGCAGUGAAAUGCGUAGAGAUGUGGAGGAACACCGAUGGCGAAGGCAGCCCCCUGGGUCAAGAUUGACGCUCAUGCACGAAAGCGUGGGGAGCAAACAGGAUUAGAUACCCUGGUAGUCCACGCCCUAAACGAUGUCUACUAGUUGUCGGGUUUUAAUUAACUUGGUAACGCAGCUAACGCGUGAAGUAGACCGCCUGGGGGAGGUACGGUCGCGAGAUAAACUAACAAGAAGUAGACGGCGUGAGACGUGCGACGACGACGACGAGGGAGGAGG